CCUACGGGAGGCAGCAGUGAGGAAUAUUGGUCAAUGGUCGGGAGACUGAACCAGCCAAGCCGCGUGAGGGAUGAAGGUACAGAGUAUCGUAAACCUCUUUUGUCAGGGAACAAAGGCGGGGACGUGUCCCCGGAUGAGUGUACCUGAAGAAAAAGCAUCGGCUAACUCCGUGCCAGCAGCCGCGGUAAUACGGAGGAUGCGAGCGUUAUCCGGAUUUAUUGGGUUAAAAGGGUGCGCAGGCGGUCUGUUAAGUCAUCGGUAAAAGCCCGGGGCUCAACCCCGGCCCGCCGUUGAAACUGGCAGUCUCGAGUUGGAGAGAAGUAUGCGGAAUGCGCGGUGUAGCGGUGAAAUGCAUAGAUAUCGCGCAGAACUCCGAUUGCGAAGGCAGCAUGCCGGCUCCACACUGACGCUGAGGCACGAAAGCGUGGGUAUCGAACAGGAUUAGAUACCCUGGUAGUC
rnacentral:rRNA from 1 species